rnacentral:rRNA from 2 species
CCGCGUCUGAUUAGGUAGUUGGUGGGGUAACGGCCUACCAAGCCAACGAUCAGUAGCCGACCUGAGAGGGUGACCGGCCACAUUGGGACUGAGACACGGCCCAAACUCCUACGGGAGGCAGCAGUGGGGAAUAUUGCACAAUGGGGGAAACCCUGAUGCAGCGACGCCGCGUGGAGGAAGAAGGUCUUCGGAUUGUAAACUCCUGUCGUUGGGGACGAUAAUGACGGUACCCAACAAGAAAGCCACGGCUAACUACGUGCCAGCAGCCGCGGUAAAACGUAGGUGGCAAGCGUUGUCCGGAAUUACUGGGUGUAAAGGGAGCGCAGGCGGAAGGACAAGUUGGAAGUGAAACCCACGGGCUCAACCCGUGAACUGCUUUCAAAACUGUUUUUCUUGAGUGGUGUAGAGGUAGGCGGAAUUCCCGGUGUAGCGGUGGAAUGCAUAGAUAUCGGGAGGAACACCAGUGGCGAAGGCGGCCUACUGGGCACUAACUGACGCUGAGGCUCGAAAGCAUGGGUAGCAAACAGGAUUAGAUACCCUGGUAGUCCA